UUUAUCAAUAAAUCUGGUAUAAUUGGUAUUGUUUUGUUUUGCAUCAUAAUACAAAUUUUCAUAAAAUAGUUAUAUAUUGUUAUAUAUUUUCAUGUUAUGUAAAACUUCUUUAACAUAGAUAGAUUUAUGUAACAUAGACACCCGAAAAUUGCGAUAUAGGUUGACAUCUAUUUCAAAUGAUAUCAAAAAUUAACUUUGAAUAUGGGUGUAUGUAAAAACACUGGCAACCAGCUUGUAUGCCAAUAUAUAAAAGUCUCAUUGACCCAUGUUUCAGUGUAUGCUGAUGUAGCUUCUAAAAUGUGAGAGGGCAAGGAAAUUAGACGUUACAGUACUUUUCACAAACUAAUCUGGCUUUAGUCUAUAUACUACAAGAAGUAAUAAGAAAAAUCAAUUUCAGAAGAUUACCAAUCCUUUCUUCCUGGCAUCUUUCAAAAACUCUUAAAAGUGAAUUUGGCAUUGACAGAUACUAAAUCGCGAUAAUUAUGUUAUAUCAGCAAAACGAGUAAUGAACAGUUUUAGUCUUCAACGGUUGAAAUUACUCAGCAAACAUGAAUUCAUUGAAGAAACUGAUUGUCGUUGCUCUAGCAUAAAGAUCGUUGCACGAUCGACCUGAUAAAAGAUGAAAUUACUUAUAUAUGUGAUUAAUUAAAAAAAGACAAUUAGUUUGUAAAUAAUCAGGUGAAUGGUAGCCUUUAUUAUAUGGCUGGUUGUGUUCAGCACAGGAUGUUGUGCAUAGUUAAUGUAACAAUAUCAGUUUUUCAGUUCCAAAAUUAAAAAUUAUGUUUCACAUAGUAAA